UCCACUUUUUUUUUUGGUCCCACUGUCUCCAUAGUGUCUUUUCAUAGCUGUGAUUGAUUGAUUUAAUUGCCAAGUAGCUUUGCUUGGGAUAAUUCUGUAAUCUCAGCUUCUUAUCCUGUGAAGUAUCACUAAGCUUCUAAUUAUUUCAGAGGGCGAAAACAAUAAAUUGGAGAAACGCUAGCCAGCACAUUUGUAAUGUAGUGCGUGUAGGACGGGGCGGAAUACUUUGCUAAAGCAGGCCUGCAUGCCUAUAGCAGGAGGAAUGUGAGGAUUGGGAAAGGUUGUGCAAGGCCAAAUCAGUCACCUGCUGAUCCUGGGGCCUUGUAGCAAUGCUACACUGGAAACAGCUUCAGGUUCAAGCCUGCCUUAAAGACACAGCCCCACACGGUGCAUGACAGGAAGCUGCACUGUCAUGCAGACUCUCUCUCAGGAAUGUAAGAAGAGUACGCCUGCUGCCACUAGCCACAGACUGCAAACCACUCCCCAGCAGGGCCACAAUCACACCUCCGCUAGGCUCUUUGAUUCUGCAGCUGCAACACUGACAAGUGUGUUGCUAUGUGAGAGAGGAGAAGCUAGCUCCACCCAGAGCUGUUUUGGCUAUUCAGGACUAAAAUGUUUCUUGUCACCCCCACACAAUUCUGAAACACCUCCCUUCACAAAGACAAUUGUAUUAAAACCCAACCCCUGUGGUAAUCCUCUUUCAGAGCAGAACUGCAGCUAGAUAUCACAGAAUGUCACAGGGCAAUGUUUAUAUUAAAAAUAUGCUUGUCUGACAGCAGAGGCAGGCUCCUGGGCCCUACUUAAUGUUUGCUGAGGUUCUGAAAUUGGCCAUGUUGUUAGAGAUCUAAAUUACUAAUGCCAUUUAUAAUCCUAAACUGGUCUGUAGCGUCUACAGAUUUCAAUUGUUCCCUUUCAUUUAAAGUAUAUGCUGAUGAGUCAUGAUACUAUAUUAACCACCAGCAGCACAUAUGAUCACUAUUUUGAUUCACAAGUGAUUUAGGUUCGGCUUCAGUAAAGGUAACAUGACUAGCCUAUUAUAAAUGGACAGAGUGCCCUCUGCUGUUUGGUAAUAAUGUGGCUCAUCCAGUGUUUCUAUACACCCAUUUUUCCUUUCUAUGCAAAACAGAUGUAUUUGCAUAUGGGACCUUCAAGCUAGGUACUUCAACCCAGAAAUAAAAGUAGCCUUAUUUUCAGAGGUGCUAAGCACUCAGCGCUCUUAUUGAUCCUACAUACUUUGGUUACAGGAUUUGCAACAUUAGAUGACUGUUGAUCCAUGCAGUCUAGAGACCUGCCUUAAUCCACGUGCAAUAUACCUGAUGCUGUAAGAAAACUGAAAAAUCCUGCAUGUACAGCACCUCACCUAUCGUGGGCAUUAUCAGAGACACACUGGCCUCAAUUUUCAAAUCUGGAUACCUAGAGUUAGGCACCUAAAUAGAAUUGAGCACAGUUUCACUGACCAAUGUAGUUAAAGAUGUUUAAAGGAAUUUAUAACAUUUUUUAAGCCCUCACCAGUCAGAGAAAUGUUGUGGAGCCCUGCUAACAACCAUACUGCCAUAUGGCAAAGAUUGCUAAAAUUGAGUGUGCGUAAUAGGCUGCUGAUUGUCACAGGCUGUAUAGAACCCCAUUAACUAAAUGACUCAUGGUGUAAGUUAUUUCUUUUUAGUAUUUCUUCUUUGUAGCCUAAUUCCAUGCACUUUGCCAGAAAAGUGCAGAGGACAUCCUUUAAAAACAUGGUUUCUUUUUUCAUAAAAUGAUCCUUAUACACAUUACCUAUAGUUGAUCUUGUACAGGGUUGCAGAGGAAACGGAUAUUAACUUUCUUUAAAGAUGAAAUAUGCUAAUAAGCAUGCACUUCUUGCUUGUUUUGUCUAACUUUGUAAUGUCACUUGAGCUGCUAAGAUGAGUCAACUCUCUGAGUGUGUUAAUUUGCACAGCUCCAGUUUACACAAGCAUUGGAUUAAUUACUGGCUGAUUAACUUGUCUUAAAAAGGAAGUGAAUGUUUGCCAUUCUUUUACUAUGAUCUGUUAAAUAUCAAUGGGAACAUAAAAUAAACAAGUAUGUUUCAGGAGAAAAAAAUCAAUUUCCAACAAAUAGUUACUAUAUUUUGUAAUUUUUUUUUACAUGAAAUGAGACAUCCAAAUACAGCUAAGUUCCAUUAAUACAUACUUAAACACUAAAAGCUAACCAACUCCCCAAAUUAACCCUCUGCACCCUCCUAAUCCUUUAAAAGUUAGACAUAGAUUCUUAGAUUUUAACAUUGUGCAGUAUUCCCUGAUCCAUACACCGUCAGUUACACACCCAUGCAACUUUGUACAAUAAUAUUGACUAUAAAGUUGAAACAUUUUUACUUCUUUGGCUUUACUGAGGUUCAAAUUAACCAUGUAGAAAAAAUAUAAAAAUCAAGUUUAAAAUUUCAAACUAAUUGAAAAGUACAAUUAAAAAUCACAAUUAUAAUUCCUUAUUUAAAAACCUGUGUUGGCAGAGUCCCUUUGAUUUACCAUUGUACACAUUGACAUUAAAACAAGCGCUACAGAAUAAAUGUUCAAAGCAUUGCUAAGGGUUGGCAGCUGAAUAGCCCCUCCUAAACCACAAAUACACACAUAGGCUGUGUCUAGACUGGCCAGUUUUUCC